rnacentral:rRNA from 1 species
CCUACGGGAGGCAGCAGUGGGGGAUAUUGGACAAUGGGGGGAACCCUGAUCCAGCGACGCCGCGUGAGUGAAGAAGUAUUUCGGUAUGUAAAGCUCUGUCAGCAGGGAAGAAAGAAAUGACGGUACCUGACCAAGAAGCCCCGGCUAACUACGUGCCAGCAGUCGCGGUAAUACGGAGGGGGCAAGCGUUAUACGGAAUUACUGGGUGUAAAGGGAGCGGAGACGGUUAAGAAAGUCUGGAGUGAAAGGCCGGGGCCCAACCCCGGGACUGCUCUGGAAACUAUUGAACUUGAGUGCAGGAGAGGUAAGCGGAAUUCCUAGUGUAGCGGUGAAAUGCGUAGAUAUUAGGAGGAACACCAGUGGCGAAGGCGGCUUACUGGACUGUAACUGACGUUGAGGCUCGAAAGCGUGGGGAGCAAACAGGAUUAGAUACCCGGGUAGUC